rnacentral:misc_RNA from 1 species
AACGCACCUUGCGCUCCUUGGUAUUCCGAGGAGCAUGCCUGUUUGAGUGUCAUUAAAUUCUCAACCUUUUCAGCUUUUGCGAGUUGGAUUGGCUUGGAUGUGGGGGUUUGCGGGCUUCUCAGGAGUCGGCUCCUCUUAAAUGCAUUAGCGGAACCUUUGUGGACCAGCUUUGGUGUGAUAAUUAUCUACGCCAUGGUUGUGAAGCAGCUUUACAUGGGGUUCAGCUUCUAACCGUCCAUUAACUUGGACAAAUUUUGACAUUUUGACCUCAAAUCAGGUAGGACUACCCGCUGAACUUAA